CUCAUCCUACUCCUCCUCUGUUCCUCGGGUGAUGUGGAGGUAAACCCAGGCCCCACGUGUCCCCAGGCACCCUCAUUUGUUGACUUCUGUUUCAUGCAUGUCAACAUCUGAAGCCUCCUCCSUAAGUUUGUUUUACUCACUGCUUUAGCACACUCUGCUAACCCUGAUGUCCUUGCCGUGUCUGAAUCCUGGCUUAGGAAGGCCACCAACAAUUCUGAGAUUUCCAUACCCAGCUACAACAUUUUCCGUCAAGAUAGAACUGCCAAAGGGGGAGGAGUUGCAAUCUACUGCAGAGAGAGCCUGCAAAGUUCUGUCAUACUUUCCAGGUCUAUACCCAAACAGUUUGAACUUCUAAUUUUAAAUAUUAACCUCUCCAGAAAUAAGUCUCUCACUGUUGCCGCCUGCUAUCGACCCCCCUCCACUCCAAGCUGUGCCCUGGACACCAUUUGUGAAUUGAUCGCCCCCCAUCUAGCUUCAGAGUUCRUUCUGUUAGGUGACCUAAACUGGGAUAUGCUUAUCACCCCGGCAGUCCUACAAUCUGAGCUACAUGCCCUCAAUCUCACACAAAUCAUCAAGGAACCCACCAGGUACAACCCCAUAUCCGUUAACAUAGGCACCCUCAUAGACAUUAUCCUGACCAACUUGCCCUCCAAAUACAUCUCCGCUGUUUUCAAUCAGGAUCUCAGCGAUCACUGCCUCAUUGCCUGUAUCCGCUACGGGUCCGCGGUCAAACGACCACCCCUCAUCACUGUCAAACGAUCCCUAAAACACUUCUGCGAGCAGGCCUUUCUAAUCGACCUGGCCCGGGUAUCCUGGAAGGAUAUUGAUCUCAUCCCAUCAGCCCUUGGUCCACUCCAGACCUGACUGCCCUUGACCAGCACAAAAACAUCCUGUGGCGGACUGCAAUAGCAUUGAAUAGUCCCCACGAUAUGCAACUGUUCAGGGAAGUCAGGAACCAAUACACGCAGUCAGUCAGGAAAGCAAAGGCUAGCUUUUUCAAGCAGAAAUUUGCAUCCAGUAGCUCUAACUCCAAAAAGUUUUGUGACAC
rnacentral:lncRNA from 1 species